rnacentral:lncRNA from 10 species
GCAUUUUGCAUGUGACAAGUUGAGUUUUAUUUGCUGCUUGUAAGAUUUUCUCCUCAUUUUACACUUUUAACCUUUUUAAACAUGAUGUUUUUCAGUGAGGAUCUCUUUGUUUUUUGUUUUGUUUUGUUUUGAGACAGAGUCUCACUCUGUCACCCAGGCUGGAGUGCAAUGGCACGAUCUCGACUCACUGCAACCUCUGUCUCCUGGAUUCAAGCAAUUCUCCUGCCUCAGCCUUCCAAGUAGCUGGGAGUACAGGUGCCCACCACCAUGCCUUGCUAAUUUUUAUAUUUUUAAUAGAGAGGGAUUUUCAGCAUGUUGGCCAGGCUGGUUUCAAACUCCUGACCUCAGGUGAUCUGCCCACCUCAGCCUCCCAAAGUGCUGGGAUUACAGGCGUGAGCCACUGCGCCCAGCCGGAUCUCUUUGUUUUUUCUCCUACUAGAGUUCUUUGAGAAUCUUGGACAUGUGAAAUAAUGUAUUCUAUCAGAUUUGCUUGUGGAUGCAGGAUGGAUUUACGUGUCCCUGGAGGACAGGAAGGCAUAAACAACGCUUGGCAUCAGCAUCAUGAAGUGCUGACAUCACCAGUUCAAAUCAUCUGACGGAGCCAGAAAAUUAGAAUCCAAAACUUGAUUUCAUAGUAUACUGCCUUGCAAAUGAGGAAAUAUGACAGAUCUCAAAAGUGCUUCUGAAUGUACGCCCUCUUGCCCAUUUUUUUUUUUUUUUUUGCAUUCUGAUCAAGUAUAUUCAAAGGGAGAUAAUAUUGCAAGCACAUCCUGGGCGACUGGGGAAAUGAAGGUUUGAAUAUUGGCCCUGAAGUUGUAGACUAAGUGGUAAGCAAUGCUUCAUAAUAAUAAUAAUAAGCUCCAAUCACACGAAGGCAAAAACCAGUCCUAACCUCAAUAUAACAGACAUAUUUAUAUGGUGGAAUCGUGCCAUCUCCUGCUUGGCAGCAUCAGACUGAUGAGCAAGCUGUGUUUGAGCUGUCAGAUGCUCGGCCAUCACUGUCAGUUCCACUUUUGACACUUCAGUUAUGUCUGUAUUUUGAGAAAGGGCAAAAGACUGAUGCUUCCCAAAUCUAUUUUCUGGCCCAGAGUUUCAUUUUUUCAUCAAAAAUCUCAUUUAUCAAUAUCUAGGAGAGAGGUUACUUUUUUUGAAGGAAGGGAAGGAUUUCUGAAAUAUAAUCAAUUUAUUUCAACAUUUAUUUUGCUUUUACUUGGUGAUCAUUACAAUCUCUAAAGGGCACUUUUUUCAAAGAAUAGGUUAUUUAUUUUAUAAAACUAUUUCAUGAUGCCAUUUUCACCGUUAUUGCAAUACACUUCAGCAUUUCAGGCUCAACAGCAGUUAUUUUAAUGUUUUCAGGGAGAUAAUCCAUAAAAGCAGUAUAUUUUACAAUGUCUAUUUUUUAUGUAUUUAUGUAUGUAUGUAUGUAUUUGUUUGUUUGUUUGUUUUUUGAGAUAGUAUCUCACUCCAUCGCCCAGGCUGGAGUGCAGUGGUGCGAUCUCGGCUCACUGCAACCUCCGCCUCCCAGGUUCAAGCAAUUCUCAUGCCUCAGCCUCCCGAGUAGCUGGGAUUAGAGGCAUAGGCCACCACGCAUGGCUUAUUUUUGUAUUUUUAGUAGCGACAAGGGUUUCGUCAUGUUGGCCAGGCUGGUCUUGAACACCUGACCUUAAGGGAUACACCCGCCUCGCCCUCCCAAAGUGCUGGGAUUAGAGGCACGAGCCACUGCUCCCAGCCAGUGUCUAUAUUUUAUAUUUGAUUAUUUGUUUCCAAUGUUAUGUACCUACA